rnacentral:sRNA from 1 species
GCGUUGCCGCAGGCAACGACCCGAAGGGCGAAGCGCGCAGCGCUGAGUCAUCCUUCCCCCAUCACCA